rnacentral:tRNA from 1 species
CGGGAUGUGGCGCAGUCUGGUAGCGCACUUGUCUGGGGGACAAGGGGCCGCCGGUUCAAAUCCGGCCAUCCCGACCA